AUGGGAAAUGAAAUCUUGAUAAGUUACUUGAAAUUUAGUUUUGCACAUUUUAAUAAUUGUGUUAAAUGUAGUGAAAAACAGAACAUCGUUAAUUGCAGUGAACAUCAAUUUGAUCAGUUUACCCAUUCUAUAUAUAAUUGUGUAAGCAUUGCCCAGCAUGUGUUUCCAUUUCCUCCUCUGUCAGAUAUUUCACUGUUCCUGCAUUGUCAGUCGUUCUGAUGAUGCGAAAUUUGUCAUUUUGUCUUAAUGUCCAACCACAAACCCAGACUCACUGUUGUUUGUGAAAGUGAUCAUAGCUCGGUCAGUUCCUCUGAAGUUUAGCAAGGUUGACACUAAGCUUGGGCGAAUUCUGUGAAGUUUUGUUGUGAAACCAGCUGAUUUUGGCUUGGUGCAUUCAUUGUGGUCAAAUGAGAAACCUGAGAAGUCUGCUCACUUCUAGUUUGACCUCAGAUGCUGGUUUGCUUACAGUCUGAGGAUGUACUUUGGUGGAUAAAGCAAAUUAUAACUCAUAGAAAAGAUGGCUAAAACUACAAAAAUAUGAUGCAAGUUGGAUUACGUUGUGAGAGCUAAACAAUCAUUUAAAUGCAACUGUCCUAUGAAAUGCCAGUCUAGUCAGUAGCGGUAGGGCGUUAUGUUAAAUAUCUGACCAGAGUGGACAGCUAAAACGGAACCAGCCCGUUCUGUACUUUAUUCAAACUGAAACUUCAAUCACCCAUCAAUGUGUUGGAUCUUUCUCAGAAAGACAUUUGAAUGUUUAACACAGGUACUUCUGCCAGCUAGGUACAGUGAGAAGUUUCCCCAGUGGCCUUGUGUGUUGAAGCAUCAGGGCCAAAGUUCUUUCAGUGCCAUGUCCAUUUCAUGUCCAUGUUGUGCAAGUUCAUACCCACAUGAACUGACUACAAAUGGCAUAGUGUCAACAUUUCUUUUGAUGCUUUUGUUUACCAAAUUUUGUUUUUCAGUGCUGUACAAGGCAAAUUCUGAAAUUUUGGGAAAUAGAUUUGUUGUAAAACCCAUAGUUAGACUGCGCUAGAAAAUACUAGUUCAUCAAGUUCAUGAUUCAGGAUGUUUUUGGUUUAGCAAAUAUCAGACCAACUUAGCUGUGGUUUAGAAUGAGCUGGGCUAAACCUGGUUUGCAGAUUUAAGGUAAACCUUGGAUACAGUGAUGACUUGUGGCUUUUACGUGGUCUCCACAGGUCACAGAAACUAGCUUUGGCUACUAAAAAAGUGAAGAAAUGUCUCAAAUUGGGAUCUCCUAGUGGUUUAGGGGUUUGAAUCAUUUCAGUCAACACAAUGCCUGCUGGAGUAUUUUUUCACAUUUACCGUAGCUCGGCUACCACUUUCCCCUGCUCCCAGUCUUUGCACUAAGCUAGUCUAAACACAUGCUAGGCUCUUACCAGAAAUCUCUUUAUAAUUUCAAAUGAAAAAAAAUAAGCACAUCUUUGCAUUUCACUGUGGUUUAAAAGCAAAUAAGAUUUAGAAAAAGAUGGAUGCAUUUUUCUUAAUCUUACCAUUUCACUUUAAUACUUAAAUGACAUUCCAUUAGCUUUCUUUAAUGCUGGUGAUUUUUUUGUGUUUAUUUACACUUUUCAUUGUCUUCCAGUGAGUUAUGGGAACAAGGCCAUGCUAGAUUGUUUAUUUCAUUACAUUUUAUAUUUUUGCUUAUGGUGAAUGUAUGUUUUUCAACACUUAGCUACUUUGAAUAUAUUAAGUGGUAUUUCCUUCUGUAAUGAUCCACUCUCACAUCUAUGUUAUAUACAUUUCACACAGAUUCUUCAUUUACCUUCAUGUGUACAUCACUGUAUAAGUUACCAUGUUAAGAUGAUUGUGAAUUUUAAGCCAUUCAUUAACUUACUUGCAGUACAUUUUUGAGAUACCUUCUCAUUCCUGGAAACAUACACUUUGCAUUCAGCAAAGAAAAAUCUUACCCUAGUUCCAGUGCCAAAUUGUUCUGUGUUUAUCCCAUAAGGAACGAGAACACGAGACAAAUCCUUGAAGUCAGUAUCCAUGAGAUAGACUUUUGGGCAGAUUGUACUUUUUUUUUUUUUCUUCUGAGGGUUUUUGUGUUUCAUGGAAGUUUGCUAAAUGGUCACUGUAGCAUGUUAUUGUAUGACAAGGAAAACAUCAAGCCAUUAUCAUUUGGGGCCUAGGGAAAGGUCAACAGGACUGUAUUCCACAGCAGGAAAAGAGCAUUUAUCGUUGAAUCUGAAAAGGCAAAAAGAAGAUAUUUUCAAAUUGAGAUGAAAUGUUUCUAACCUAUUGUGUAUUCCUGCAGGAUGUAAAAUACAUUUGAACUUGCCAGUUGUCUGUAAAAUGUUCAUGUGUUAAAGGUUGAUGUCAUGCCUAACUGAUUUGUCAUUCAGUAUUUUUGAAGGAGAAAAUCCUCUAAAAGAGUACUUGAAAAAUAUCUGGUUUUACAAAUGUGCUAAAUGUUCAGAUUGUUUACAAAGAACACAGGAGAUUGGAAUGGUGACUUAAUAUUUUAUACUUUUUUAAAAAAAAAUUGUUUACUCAAGAAAACAACCUCUUCAAUGAACAGCAGGCCUUUAUCCCAUCACCGUGAGAAAAUGAGAUCCUUGUCUUGUUGAGGUUAGAAAACUAGAUCACCAAUGAUUGGAAAACAAGACUAAAAUAAGGCCUGAUUUCUGUGAAUUUAAAAAAAGUAUCUCUUUCCAUUUAUCUUGAACAAAUAGCAUUUGAUUUAGUUGUCCUUUGUGUCUUUUAUAUACAGGGAAAAUAAGGUAUUGGUCCCAUUAUUCUCAACAAAAUGUUAAUCUGCUUGGUUGUUAAUAAUUAAAUAACAAAAUAACUCAUUAAAUGUAACCAUGGCCACUGUCAGCUUCCUGACAGAAGUGGAAUAUUUCUAUGUUUACUUGUUUUCUCGCCAUCACAAACUGUCUCCAAAUUGAUGGAUGUUACCAUUCAACACUGGGAUAUUGGGUAAGCAUAUGAUGUCUUUUCACUAAUGAUCACUAGAAGGGUUAUAUUAAGGUUACAACAACUAUUCAUUGGCCAUUAGAAACAAAACUUUCUUGAGCGUUCUGUUAUUGAGGUAAUGUCUUCAGGGAUGACACAAAUUGCUCUUGUGGCAGGUAAAAUGUAGUGUAUGCCGUAUUAAAAUGUCUUGGAUGAUGUCAUGUCACUGUGUCCAGUAAGUCAAUGAGGCAUUUUCUAAUGAUGUUGGGUUUUGGAUGUCAAUAAUGCUAGUUUUCAGAAUCCUGGAAACAACACUGGUGAACUGUGUUAAGGAUGGAUUUGUGUUUUCAAUGACUGAUGUGCAGGAGAUGACACCUGCCAUGUGCCAAAUGAAUAUUGUACUAAUGCACUUUGAACAGAUAUUUUUACUUUGCAGAAAAUAAAAAUAAAAAACAAUAUCCA
ensembl:lncRNA